rnacentral:rRNA from 1 species
CCCUCGCUGUGUGUUAUAUGUGUCACACGGGACUGCCGGUCUUAAGCCGGAGGAAGGUGGGGAUGAUGUCAAGUCAGCAUGGCCUUUAUAUCCUGGGCUACACACACGCUACAAUGGCCAACACAAUAGGUUGCUAAGCCGCGAGGUGGCGCCAAUCCAUAAAGUUGGUCUCAGUUCAGAUUGUAGGCUGCAACCCGCCUGCAUGAAGAUGGAGUUGCUAGUAACCGCAGGUCAGCUAUACUGCGGUGAAUACGUUCCCGGGGCUU